rnacentral:rRNA from 1 species
ACUGAACGCUGGCGGCAGGCCUAAAACAUUAACAGCGAACGAGUGGCCGACGGGUGAGUAUUUUCUGGGUAACCGCCUGAUGGAGGGGAAUACCUACGGGAAACGGUAGCCAAUACAGCCUACCAACAGAUGGGUCCAGAUGGGAUUAGCUAGUAGGUGGGGUAACGGCUCACCUAGGCGACGAUCCCUAGCUGGUCUGAGAGGGUGACCAGCCACACUGGAACUGAUACACGGUCCAGACUCCUACGGGAGGCAGCAGUGGGGAAUAUUGCACAAUGGGCGCAAGCCUGAUGCAGCCAUGCCGCGUGUAUGAAGAAGGCCUUCGGGUUGUAAAGUACUUUCAGCGGGGAGGCGUUACCCGCAGAAGAAGCACCGGCUAACUCCGUGCCAGCAGCCGCGGUAAUUC